AUUGAACGCUGGCGGCAUGCUUUACACAUGCAAGUCGAACGGUAACAGGCCGCAAGGUGCUGACGAGUGGCGAACGGGUGAGUAAUGCAUCGGAACGUGCCCAGUCGUGGGGGAUAACUGCUCGAAAGAGCAGCUAAUACCGCAUACGAUCUAUGGAUGAAAGCGGGGGACCGUAAGGCCUCGCGCGAUUGGAGCGGCCGAUGUCAGAUUAGGUAGUUGGUGGGGUAAAGGCUCACCAAGCCAACGAUCUGUAGCUGGUCUGAGAGGACGACCAGCCACACUGGGACUGAGACACGGCCCAGACUCCUACGGGAGGCAGCAGUGGGGAAUUUUGGACAAUGGGGGCAACCCUGAUCCAGCAAUGCCGCGUACAGGAAGAAGGCCUUCGGGUUGUAAACUGCUUUUGUACGGAACGAAACGGUCUGGGUUAAUACCCUGGGCUAAUGACGGUACCGUAGGAAUAAGCACCGGCUAACUACGUGCCAGCAGCCGCAGUAACAC
rnacentral:rRNA from 1 species